rnacentral:rRNA from 1 species
AUUGAACGCUGGCGGUAGGCCUAACACAUGCAAGUCGAACGGCAGAAGAGUACUUGCUCGCGCAUUCAGCGGCGGACGGGUGAGUAAUGCCUAGGAACCUGCGUGUCAGUUUGUGAUAGCGUGCGGAAACGGGGGCUAAUACCGCAUACGCGCUGACGAAGUACGUGUGGAAUCAGCGGACCUCACGCUAUCAGAUGAGCCGAGGUCGGAUUAGCUAGUUGGUGGGGUAAAGGCCCACCAAGGCGACGAUCCGUAGCUGGUCUGAGAGGAUGAUCAGCCACACUGGAACUGAGACACGGUCCAGACUCCUACGGGAGGCAGCAGUGGGGAAUAUUGGACAAUGGGCGCAAGCCUGAUCCAGCCAUGCCGCGUGGGUGAAGAAGGUCUUCGGAUUGUAAAGCCCUUUUAGUUGGGAAGAAGAGCAGUAAGUUAAUACCUCGCUGUUUUGACGUUACCAAAAGAAUAAGCACCGGCUAACUUCGUG